rnacentral:tRNA from 4 species
GCCGAAGUGGUGAAAUUGGUAGACACGCUACCUUGAGGGGGUAGUGGGCUUUUGCCCGUGGAGGUUCAAGUCCUCUCUUCGGCACCA